rnacentral:rRNA from 1 species
UACGUAGGGUGCGAGCGUUGUCCGGAAUUAUUGGGCGUAAAGAGCUCGUAGGCGGUCUGUCGCGUCCGUUGUGAAAACUCGAGGCUCAACCUCGGGCUUGCAGUGGGAUACGGGCAGACUAGAGUGCGGUAGGGGAGACUGGAAUUCCUGGUGUAGCGGUGGAAUGCGCAGAUAUCAGGAGGAACACCGAUGGCGAAGGCAGGUCUCUGGGCCGCAA